AGCGAACGCUGGCGGCAGGCCUAACACAUGCAAGUCGAACGAACUCUUCGGAGUUAGUGGCGGACGGGUGAGUAACACGUGGGAACGUGCCUUUUGGUUCGGAAUAACUCAGGGAAACUUGUGCUAAUACCGAAUGUGCCCUUCGGGGGAAAGAUUUAUCGCCAUUAGAGCGGCCCGCGUCUGAUUAGCUCGUUGGUGAGGUAACGGCUCACCAAGGCGACGAUCAGUAGCUGGUCUGAGAGGAUGACCAGCCACACUGGGACUGAGACACGGCCCAGACUCCUACGGGAGGCAGCAGUGGGGAAUCGUGCGCAAUGGGCGAAAGCCUGACGCAGCCAUGCCGCGUGAAUGAUGAAGGUCUUAGGAUUGUAAAAUUCUUUCACCGGGGACGAUAAUGACGGUACCCGGAGAAGAAGCCCCGGCUAACUUCGUG
rnacentral:rRNA from 1 species